GACGAACGCUGGCGGCGUGCUUAACACAUGCAAGUCGAACGGGAAGGCCCUGCUUUUGUGGGGUGCUCGAGUGGCGAACGGGUGAGUAACACGUGAGUAACCUGCCCUUGACUUUGGGAUAACUUCAGGAAACUGGGGCUAAUACCGGAUAGGAGCUCCUGCUGCAUGGUGGGGGUUGGAAAGUUUCGGCGGUUGGGGAUGGACUCGCGGCUUAUCAGCUUGUUGGUGGGGUAGUGGCUUACCAAGGCUUUGACGGGUAGCCGGCCUGAGAGGGUGACCGGCCACAUUGGGACUGAGAUACGGCCCAGACUCCUACGGGAGGCAGCAGUGGGGAAUAUUGCACAAUGGGCGGAAGCCUGAUGCAGCAACGCCGCGUGCGGGAUGACGGCCUUCGGGUUGUAAACCGCUUUCGCCUGUGACGAAGCGUGAGUGACGGUAAUGGGUAAAGAAGCACCGGCUAACUACGUGCCAGCAGCCGCGGUGAUACGUAGGGUGCGAGCGUUGUCCGGAUUUAUUGGGCGUAAAGGGCUCGUAGGUGGUUGAUCGCGUCGGAAGUGUAAUCUUGGGGCUUAACCCUGAGCGUGCUUUCGAUACGGGUUGACUUGAGGAAGGUAGGGGAGAAUGGAAUUCCUGGUGGAGCGGUGGAAUGCGCAGAUAUCAGGAGGAACACCAGUGGCGAAGGCGGUUCUCUGGGCCUUUCCUGACGCUGAGGAGCGAAAGCGUGGGGAGCGAACAGGCUUAGAUACCCUGGUAGUCCACGCUGUAAACGGUGGGUACUAGGUGUGGGGUCCAUUCCACGGGUUCCGUGCCGUAGCUAACGCUUUAAGUACCCCGCCUGGGGAGUACGGCCCGCAAGGCUAAAACUCAAAGGAAUUGACGGGGCCCCGCACAAGCGGCGGAGCAUGCGGAUUAAUUCGAUGCAACGCGUAGAACCUUACCUGGGUUUGACAUGGAUCGGGAGUGCUCAGAGAUGGGUGUGCCUCUUUUGGGGUCGGUUCACAGGUGGUGCAUGCCUGUCGUCAGCUCGUGUCGUGAGAUGUUGGGUUAAGUCCCGCAACGAGCGCAACCCUUGUUCACUGUUGCCAGCACGUUAUGGUGGGGACUCAGUGGAGACCGCCGGGGUCAACUCGGAGGAAGGUGGGGAUGACGUCAAGUCCUCAUGCCCCUUAUGUCCAGGGCUUCACGCAUGCUACAAUGGCUGGUACAGAGAGUGGCGAGCCUGUGAGGGUGAGCGAAUCUCGGAAAGCCGGUCUCAGUUCGGAUUGGGGUCUGCAACUCGACCUCAUGAAGUCGGAGUCGCUAGUAAUCGCAGAUCAGCAACGCUGCGGUGAAUAAAUUCCCGGGGCU
rnacentral:rRNA from 1 species